rnacentral:rRNA from 1 species
UACGAAGGGUGCUAGCGUUGUUCGGAUUUACUGGGCGUAAAGCGCGCGUAGGCGGCGAUCCAAGUCAGGGGUGAAAUCCUGGGGCUUAACCCCAGAAUUGCCUUUGAAACUGGAUUGCUAGAGUGUCGGAGGGGAUAGCGGAAUUCCUAAUGUAGAGGUGAAAUUCGUAGAUAUUAGGAGGAACACCGGUGGCGAAGGCGGCUAUCUGGACGACAACUGACGCUUAGGCGCGAAAGCGUGGGUAUCAAACAGG